ACCCCAGCCCCUGAACCUUCUUCCGGUUUUGCUGCAGGACGGAAGCCGCCGAGGGGCAAACUUCCCGGCGGUCCAUGGCCCCGCCCCUUCCCAGACUGGAAAUUCCACCGGCAUUCAACAACGCCCAGGGCUCAGGCAGUGCUGUGCUGGGAGUCGGGCGGCCCCUCCUUCGUGACCCCGGAGUGGGCAAGUGACGAGGGCACGGCCGGAAACGUGUUGGCGUCAAGGAAACCAUGACCCAUCUUCCUGGAAGAAAACUUGGGGACAUUUAUGAAGAGAAGACUAGGAAGGACCGAAGUAGAAUCACUAAAGGAGGUAGAAGCAACCCACGGUAUUCUUGAAGAGUUUCCAGACAGAUGUGUUAAAUUCCAAAGAGUAUCAGGAAAGAGCAAGACCAAAAAUUGCAUUUGAAUUUAGGAAGGAAGCGGCCAUGGAGCUUCAGAAGCAAAAUUUCAGUGAGUAGAAAGUAAAACAGGAAAAAGCCGGGUGAACAAAAGAGUUGGAAAACAAGAGAGGAGGGAGAUGGGUGAAUAAGGUCAUCAGGAGAAGCCUCCAACUCUGAAGUGGAAGGAGAGGUGGCCUGUUCAGGAGAGCAAGACACAGCUGAGGAGGCAGGCUUUAGGUGAAAAUCUGCUGCAAGAACCAUGUGGAAGGGAUAUAAAUACCCCCCAGGAGGGGUAAGUGUACUUUCAACCUUGUUCUCUAUUCCUACUUUGAAAUGUAUUCCCAUCCCCAGAAACAAACUAAGCAUGAAAAUCCAACUUUAGUAAUAUUAGAGACAAAUACUUUUAUUUUUUUUACGUUACUGUAGCUUCUACUUGUAUUAUUAUUCACAGUCGGAGUUGGGAGAGUUCCCAUUUUCUUUCACAUGAUCUUUAAGGCCCAGAGUCAAGUUGGGAAACUUUGUCUCUGUUGUCCUUAUGGAUGUUUUCUAUGCCCAGUCUUUGAUGCCAUUUCCUAGGGAUCAGUCCACAUCAGAAAUCCAAACUUCGCUCUCCCACAAGUAACCACUAGUUUGUAAAAGGGUUCUGGUGGCAGAUGUCUCCCUCCUCUCUCCUCCUGUUAGACCUUGGAACUUCUGUCUUUUCUCUGCCUCUUGUCACUCCCCAAUGCUGAGGUCCCCUUGCAGCCAGGAUCAGCACCUCUCAGAGGUGAGACAGAAUUGGAGGUGGCCUCCCCUGCUGUCCUUGGCUUGGAGGCCAAAUGCCUCAGCCCCACACUAGCAACCACUAGACCCACACGACACACUUUUUUUUCCCCCACAGACCCCGGUGGAAGUAAGCAAGGAUGAUCCUGGUGAAGUAAUGCAGCUCUGAAGCUCAUCUGACCAGCUGUACAGUUCCUGUUGUUGGUUUCGCAUAAAGUAAUUGCACAUUAUUUUGUCAUAUUUUAUGUUAAGAAGUUAU